AGUGAACGCUGGCGGCGUGCCUAAUACAUGCAAGUCGAACGAAGUGGCGCACGGGUGAGUAAUAUAUAGUUAAUCUGCCCUACACAGAGGAACAACAGUUGGAACAGGCUGCUAAUACCUCAUAGUGUAGGAUGAGACUAUAUCGUAUCAGCUAGUGGGUAAGGUAAUGGCUUACCAAGGCUAUGACGGGGAACUGGUCUGAGAGGAUGAUCAGUAACAUUGGAACGGAGACACGGUUCAAACUCCUACGGGAGGCAGCAGGAAGGAGAAGUGCGCAAUUGGAGAAACCGUGACGUAGCAACGCCGCGUGGAGGAUGACACUUUUCGGAGCGUAAACUCCUUUUAUCAGGAAAGCGGUACCUAAUGAAUAAGCACCGGCUAACUCCGUGCCAGCAGCCGCGGUAAUAC
rnacentral:rRNA from 1 species